UAAAAUCUUUAUCAUGCGCAUAGGAGAAAUAAUUCCAUAAUUUGUUCUUUAUUCAACCAUAGAUAGAACUUAUAAUCAAUGGGAUUGUGUUGAUAUAAUUAUUGCCAACACAAAUUAGGCCAUCAUAAGAACAGUACAUACAUUCUUCUAGUACAACAUGAAAAGUAUAUCUAGAAAAUGGUAACAAUUGAACAGCCUUCAAACUGUACUAUCAAGAAGAUUCCACAAUACCACCACUUAGGAAAAGAAUUUCAGCAGCUCCAUUAAGUUGAACUCUUUCUUCCACAAAUUUGCUCUAUUUAUCACCAUAGUAUCAGAUAAUAUUUUUUAUUUACUGUGAACACCAUUGGAGAGGCUUACAACUGUGACACUAUGAAUACUACAAUUGGUAUAGAGGCAUUUGAAACAAGUCUAAGGUGUCUGGAAAAGAAAACUACUUGUGAAAUGGAAAUGAAUCUUCAGGAGAAAAUACGUACAAACACCGGUAUUAGAGAUAAAAAUCUUGUGGUGAUUAAAGAAAAAACUAUGAUAUACAAGAGAUAGUCCCAAGUUCAGGAACAGAAGAAAACGAUUUUUAAAAAAUGCUGUACAGAAAAAAGAGAAGAGUCAAAGACAAUUCAAUAUCAGAAAGGUAUCCAAGUCAGAUUCAAGAAUUUAAAAAAAACAAGAUAUAAUCAGCAAAUUGAACAUAGGACACAGGGAUACAGAAAUUCAUAUGCAAUUUAUGAAAGGAAAUAUUAUUCCACCUUUAGAUGAUGAGUUCUGGUAAAAUGAAUCCCAAUCACAAUGUACUGCUAUGGAAUUGUUUUCAAAGCAAUAACAAGUACAAAGUCAACUUAUUGUAUCAGCCAAAGAAACAGAAAUCAUCAUAUCCUCCAGUUAUUCGCAAAAUGAAGUGAAUAUUGGGCAACUAUUCAACAGACUUAGUCUAUACAAAGUGCAACCGUUUCAUUGAUGAUUCCAAAGAGAUUGCUAAAUGUGAAGAAAUACCUCUGAAAAAUUCCGCUUAACCUUUUACUACAGAACUAUAAGUUAAUUCAUCCCCACCAAGUGAUUAAUUCAUGCAUUUAGAGUUUUUUUGGACGAUUUGACUGUUAAUUUUUCAAAAUAUGUAAACAAAUUUCUCUUGUUAAUUGGAAUAGUUAUUUAUGAAAAAAUUCAGUGGAGUGAAAAUAAAUUUGAAUAUUUUGA